rnacentral:lncRNA from 1 species
CAUAACUUUUGGAUAAUUAUUUGGAGUUGAAAUACUAUUUUAUUUAAAUAGUUAUAUAGCCCUACAGGCAUUUAUAGGGCAAAUGUAUUUUUGCGCAUUCUCUUUUGAAGGGAAACUACUCCCAAAAGUUGUAUCACGAUAUAACAUGUUUUUACAAAUUUUCUGGAAUUUAUUUGUACCAACUUGGAGUUCAAAAUCAAAAGAUACCAAAGAAAUAAGAAAAACAGAAAAGAAAAAAGGCUAAAAGAGAAAAAAAGGGCAAAUGGACCGGCCCGGCUGUUUUGGGCCGAACCGGCCCAGUCCCGCGCGUGCCGCCCAGCCCGCUCCCCUGCAAGCCGCCGCCCGGCCCAGCGCGCCACGCGGAGUCACCGACAGCUGGGCCUCUCCUGUCGGGUUGUCUCCUACCUUGGGCAAGCGCCCGCGGAUCGCGCCGCUCGUCCCGCCCGUGUCCGCCUCCGCCAUCACCGGAUUCCCGUCGAUUCCGCGAUCCCCGCAGCCGCC